GAUAUUAUUUACAGUAUAAUGUUGGCUGUGUGUGUGGUCAGGCCGCUGUGACUUCUACAUAGGCAAGGAACAGUAUUGGCCGCUCAUCUUUAGCCUCAUAGGUCGUAAAGGCUCGCCACUCAUGCCAGCCAUCAGCGCCAGGAUCGAGCGGCUGGUGUCCCACGACCUGUACUUCAAGUGGCUGGGGGAGGAGCUGCCCAACGCCACGGCGUGCCUCAAGGCCAGCACCCGCGUUACCGUCAAUGAGGCCUACCACCUCACCGGCCUCUGGGGGGUGUUUGUGCUGUUCGCUGGUGGACUGCUGUUGGCUACUGCUGUGUUUCUGUGUGAGUUGACUGUUGCUGCUAAUAUGUCUGGACUAUGACCACACCACCAUCGAAUCUGUUGGGUGACGUUGCUGGAUGGUUACCACAGCAGCAUCCACUGACUUAACCUUCAGCAUUUCUAAACACGAGUCGUUGUUAACAAGGACUCGAAUGUAAAGGUUAACCAAGACGGGAACAUCGACCCCCAACACCGAGAUGACUAGAAACACGUCCUUAAUCCUUUGUGUUUGUAUUUAGACAAACAAUCACCCAUGCAGACGUAGAAAAACACAACUGAUGGACAUAUAAUGAUGGAAUAGAUAAACUUAGGUGUGAAUAAAUAAUGUGGAUAAAGAUCACAAUUGUUCAAUACAAUUUGCAGCUGUGAUUUGUAUUAUACAAAUCACAGCUGCAAAUUUUGGCUGGGUCUUUUUCCUAAAUAUUCUAUGUAUAAAUUAUCAUCAUGUAACCUGUAUAUCUAUUAAACCUAUAGACAAUGAAUGUAUAGAGUCCAAUAUAAACAUUGCAUAUAUAAAGAAGCAGUUUAAUAAUCCCUUCAUUGGUAAAAAUCACCCUUAACGACGUAAUUUCAAAAUUAAUAAGUUACAGCCUCUCUCUGCGUCAUAGUUGCGCAGGUAAUCUGGUAACCCUCUCGUGACCGCUGGCAAGGCUAUAUAAGACCCGGUCGAUAUAGAUGAACAAUCUGUCCUGUCGCCUCCUGGCUGGGUCGGCGACUACCCUGGUUGUGUUGUGUCCUGCCUCUACCACCACCACCACCACACCACUCCUCUACCAGGUCUGAUGUCUCCACCCUGCCCUUCCUCUCUCGCUCAUCCUCAGUCGUCUCAUACAGAAAUGAAAAGGCCCAAGCUGACCUACCCAGCCCCAAUACCCUGAUGAAGGACAUGGCGCCACCACCUUACCCUGACACCUGUGGUCGUUCCGUAGAAUCAAAGCCAGUUUAGUCAAGGGUUGUGAUAUCGACAGCUGUCCAUAAAGGCAACGAUAGUGAUCUCCCACUAAGCCAGUGGUGUGGUGAUGGUACUACAUUUUGGCAUAUAAAUUCAAGCCCUAAGUGUAUACGAUUCUUACCAUGAAUUUGUUUUCCAUAAAUUUGGGGGUAAACAAUGCCUAAUAAGAAUAAGUUUAUGUAUUUCCUUUAAUACUAUAAUAAACAUUAAUAUAUUACACCGCAGUAAAAAUAGUCACCGUACAUACAUCACGUUAUGGACCUACCAACAUAAUUUAAAGAUGUCAGUGUUAAGGGAAAGGAAGUUAAUUUGCUCCAUCUGAUGACCUACCAUGUAUGAAUGAAUGAAUGAAAUAAAUUAUGAUAAUAAAGAUUGAAUUUAUUAUUUCUGACAGUGAUGUACCCACCCACCAGGGGCAAACAGAAU